AAUAGAUACCCGGGUAGUCCACGCCGUAAACGAUGGGUACUAGAUGUUGCGGGAAUUGACCCCUGCAGUGUCGCAGCUAACGCAUUAAGUACCCCGCCUGGGAAGUACGGCCGCAAGGUUAAAACUCAAAGGAAUUGACGGGGGCCCGCACAAGCGGUGGAGCAUGUGGUUUAAUUCGAUGCAACGCGAAGAACCUUACCUGGGUUUGACAUCCCUUGACCGCCCUAGAGAUAGGGCUUUGUAGCAAUACACAAGGAGACAGGUGCUGCAUGGCUGUCGUCAGCUCGUAUCGUGAGAUGUCGGGUUAAGUCCCUUAACGAGCGCAACCCUUAUGCUUAGUUGCCACCAUUUAGUUGGGCACUCUAAGCAGACUGCCGGUGUUAAACCGGAGGAAGGUGGGGAUGACGUCAAGUCCUCAUGGCCUUUAUAUCCAUGGCUACACACGUGCUACAAUGGCUGAUACAAAGGGUUGCCAACCCGCAAGGGGGAGCUAAUCUCAGAAAGUCAGUCUUAGUUCGGAUCGAAGUCUGCAAUUCGACUUCG
rnacentral:rRNA from 1 species